GAUGAACGCUGGCGGCGUGCCUAACACAUGCAAGUCGAACGGAGUCGUUUUGGCAAUCUCUUCGGAGAUGGAAUUCUCGACUUAGUGGCGGACAGGUGAGUAACGCGUGAGCAAUCUGCCUUUAAGAGGGGGAUAACAGUCGGCUACGGCUGCUAAUACCGCAUAAAGCAUUAAAUUCGCAUGUUUUUGAUGCCAAAGGAGCAAUCCGCUUUUAGAUGAGCUCGCGUCUGAUUAGCUAGUUGGCGGGGUAACGGCCCACCAAGGCGACGAUCAGUAGCCGGACUGAGGGGUUGAACGGCCACAUUGGGACUGAGACACGGCCCAGACUCCUACGGGAGGCAGCAGUGGGGAAUAUUGCGCAAUGGGGGAAGCCCUGACGCAGCAACGCCGCGUGAUUGAAGAAGGCCUUCGGGGUGUAAAGAUCUUUAAUCAGUGACGAAACAAAUGACGGUACCUGAAGAAUAAGCGCCGGCUAACUACGUG
rnacentral:rRNA from 1 species